rnacentral:tRNA from 2 species
GCCCGGUUAGCUCAAUUGGUUAGUAGCGUCGGACUUUUAGAUCAUAGCGAUCCGAAGGUUGCGAGUUCGAGUCUCGCAUCGGGCG